rnacentral:rRNA from 1 species
CAGUCGCCGCGGUAAUACGAAGGGUGCAAGCGUUACUCGGAAUUACUGGGCGUAAAGCGUGCGUAGGUGGUGGUUUAAGUCCGUUGUGAAAGCCCUGGGCUCAACCUGGGAAUUGCAGUGGACACUGGGUCACUAGAGUGUGGUAGAGGAUAGUGGAAUUUCCGGUGUAGCAGUGAAAUGCGUAGAGAUCGGAAGGAACAUCUGUGGCGAAGGCGACUAUCUGGGCCAACACUGACACUGAGGCACGAAAGCGUGGGGAGCAAACAGGAUUAGAUACCCGGGUAGUCCCUGUCUCUUAUAA